rnacentral:rRNA from 1 species
UACGUAGGGGGCAAGCGUUGUCCGGAUUUAUUGGGCGUAAAGCGCUCGCAGGUGGUCCGUUGCGUCGUGCGUGAAAGACCCCGGCUCAACCGGGGAGGGUCGUGCGAUACGGGCAUCACUGGAGUUCGGCAGGGGAGACUGGAAUUCCUGGUGUAGCGGUGAAAUGCGCAGAUAUCAGGAGGAACACCGGUGGCGAAGGCGGGUCUCUGGGCCGAUACUGACGCUGAGGAGCGAAAGCGUGGGGAGCGAACAGG